rnacentral:lncRNA from 1 species
AAGAGGAUGACGCCGCAUGACCACACAUCCACCUUAGCUCCAUCAUAUCCUUUCUUCGUCAAGAUCUCCGGUGCCACGUAAGCUGGGGUCCCACACAAGGUGUGCAACAGCCCGUCGGGUCGGAUCUGAUCGGUUACGGCACUGAGACCGAAAUCGGUAACCUUCAAAUUCCCGUUCUCGUCAACAAGGAGGUUUUCAGGUUUCAAAUCACGGUGGAAUACCCCGCGGGAGUGGCAAUACCCGACGGCCGAUAUGAGCUGUUGGAAAUACUUACGGCUGAGAUCUUCGCUGAACCUUCCUUUAGCAACCUUAGCGAACAAUUCUCCACCUUUGACGAAUUCCAUCACGAAAUAGAUCUUAGUUUUGGUGGCCAAAACCUCGUAGAGUUUGACGAUAUAAGGG